UACGUAGGGGGCAAGCGUUGUCCGGAUUUAUUGGGCGGAAAGAGCGUGUAGGCGGUUUGGUAGGUCCGUUGUGAAAACUCGAGGCUCAACCUCGAGACGCCGAUGGAAACCAUCAGACUAGAGUCCGGAAGAGGAGAGUGGAAUUCCUGGUGUAGCGGUGAAAUGCGCAGAUAUCAGGAAGAACACCCGUGGCUAAGGCGGCUCUCUAGUACGGUACUGACGCUGAGACGCGAAAGCGUGGGGAGCGAACAGG
rnacentral:rRNA from 1 species